AACAAUCCAAUCCAGUUAGGAUCAUAACAUUAACUUCUACUGGAAUGAGUUUGUCUUCAAACGCAUGAAAAAAGAAUUACACUAAUUAACCAGGUGCUUUCGACGAUACAAUAUGUAUAUACUUUCUAAAGUAAUUAGCAACAGACAUAAAAAACAAAGUUUGUCUUGGGGGAGAGAGAUUUUACAUAGCUCCAAAAAAUUUCAGCCCCAAGUUACACUUCAUAGAAUGUUAACUAAACAAUUUUAUUAAAUGCUAAUGUAUAACGGUCAAAGCCAUUGAGGUAGAUGAUGACACCUCAAAGCAGGUGAAAACACAAAAAAAAAAUGUGUUUGUGGGCUAAGAGUGCUUAUGCCAAUUUAGAAGCAUAGAGAUACACACCCUCAUAAUGUAAAACUUCCCCCUUUGUUGCCUCACCAUUCUCCUCAACUUGGAAAAUCUCCUACCCAUGUUUCCCAUUUUGAAG
rnacentral:lncRNA from 1 species